GUGCGAGCGUCCCCACGGUCUGGAGAGUGCACCUUCAGGUGCCGGACGCUGCUCCCUUACAGAUGCAGUCGGAUUUCUUCCUGCCAAAGCCCCGGAAGCUGCGGAACCGGCACCUGCGGAAGCCACUGGUGGUCCAGAGAACACUGCUCCCUAGACCAUCGGAAAACCAGUCCCACAACGUUUGUUCCUUCUCCAUCCUGUCUAACUCUUCCGUAACUGGGAGAGGUUCGUUCCGGCCCAUCCAGUCUUCUCUGACCAAAGCAGCUCUGUCUCGGCCGAUCGUGCCCAAGGUCCUUCCACCCCAGGCCACGAGUCACCUGGCCAGUGCUAUCGACUUAGCAGCUACGAGUGCCGGCAUUCUCUCUGGGAACCCCCUCCCUGCCUUGGACACCGAGGGCUUGUCUGGCAUCUCUCCACUGUCUUCAGACGAGGUGACGGGUGCCAUCUCGGGGCAGGACUCCACUGGAACUCACCAGGAUGGAGAUGCCCUCCCCACUGUGGGGGGCUCCGACCCAUUCGUCAGCAUCCCUUCGA
rnacentral:sRNA from 1 species